UAUCCAUGAUGUAGACAUGAAUUCAAAAGAUCUUUGAAUCUCUCCCAAUAUUGGAAGAAGGUCCCUUCCUCUUUUUGAGAGAAAUUCAUGAUCACCCUCCUCAGGGU